GCACCAGUAGCUCAAUGGUAGAGCACUCGACUCAUAAUCGAUGGAUUAUCGGUUCGAAUCCGUUUUAGGUGCACCA
rnacentral:tRNA from 1 species